UCUUCCCAUCCCGAACAGAGAAGUUAAGCCCGUUAGCGCCGAUGGUACUGCUAUACCAAGUGGGAGAGUAGGUAGCCGCCAACU
rnacentral:rRNA from 1 species